rnacentral:lncRNA from 12 species
CGUCACCUCCCCGGGGCCGGAUACCUUCAGAGCCUUUCCCCCUUGCUGUAGUUGCCUGAGUUACAGUCUCUCUUCAGCACUGUGGGACUUGCUGAAUUUCAUGAGACCCCAAAUUCCUACACCUCCAAGGUCAGAUGGAGUCUUCUUUGUGCAUAAUUCUUAAAAGAAAAAAAAAGGUUUUAUUUAUUUAUUUAUCCACGAGACACAGAGAGGCAGAGACCCAGGCAGAGGGAGAAGCAGGCUCCAUGCAGGGAGCCUGACGUGGGACUCGAUCCCCAGACCCCAGGGUCACGCCCUGGGCUGAAGGCAGACGCUCAACCCCUGAGCCACCCAGGUGUCCCAAGAGCAGGGAUUUUUACAUCCUGUUUGGUUUCUAGGUAUAUCCCCAGUACCUAAAACAAAUAGUGCUCAAAAAUUUUUUAUUGAAUGAAUGAAGUUCUACUUUUGAAGGAGUAGCAUAAGAUAAUUUGUAUUUCUAGACUCCAAAAGAAGGCAGCAGGACCCUGGGAGGAGGACAGAGGCAGGAGGAAUGGCAAAGACAGGUGGCUCUAGGUUCACCAAGGGCCCGAAGCCUAAGUCGCCCUGGCAACACUCCUGUGCUGGAGUUUGGUCAGGAAGUGCGGGGUCAGUAGAAUAGGGAUUUCGGAUGUCGGUGUGGGGCGGUUGGCAGGAAGCAGGAGCAGCUUUGAGGGCCCAUUUCUGCUCCAUCAGCCCCAGGGCACCUCCCUGUGGCCGGCUGCUGCACUUCUGAGCAGUGUCGCUGGAGUCUUUCUGCUUCGGAGACUCCUUCCCUGAUAAGAAACCCUGCUCGCCAGCAAUGCCCCAGGACACUUGCUAGUCCUAAGGGAUGACUGAACACCUAAGAAGAGCGGAGGGACCCAGCAUUUGGUAUCGCUGCAUUCGGAGAACAAAGCAUAAUGCCUGCGAUAGAACACAGCUCAGAUGUAGACUGAAAGAAGGAAGAAAGGAGAUGUAUGGGUUGCUCCAGCUUGGGGUGAAUGGGCAGAGGUGGGGACACUGUUUUUUUUACCUUUCUCAUACAUUCCCUCUUCAAAGGUCCCAGUUACCUCAAAGAAACUUUGUUUAAAUUUCCAAACUGCUGGAGCACCUGGCUGGCUCACCUGGCAGAGCAUGUGAUCUCAGGGCCCUGAGUUCAGGCCCCACGUUGGGCAUGGAGCCUACUUUAUUUUUAUUUAUUUAUUUAUUUAUUUUUGCCUGCCAUGGAGCCUACUUUAAAAAAAAAAAAAUCUAAACUACUCCUCAGGGCAAACUGUGGUUAAAAAAAAAAUUAGUUAAAUACAUUGUAGUCAAGAGACAGAAAGAGAGUGGGGAUGUGGGUGCCUGGUACUUUUCCAGAAAGGUCCAAGCUCUUGUUUUCCUUGCUCUUUCACUGCAGGGAAAAGGCUGGGCCUCCAGUUCUCAUUCAGGGGAAGAAUUCAGAAUUAUAGUCACAUCACGAUCCAGGGCUCUUUUCAGCGCAUUUGGAUUCUGAGCACCACAGCUUUUAGAAUAAUCCAUUGGGCUUUUUCUUUGUUUCACUGUCUAUGAUAGAAGAAAGCUGUUCGAUACUUUUAAAAUUCUGCAGAAUUAAGAUAAGAGCACAUUUCUAGGCCCCCCUCCUUUUUUUAAUCCAUUUGUAUCCAAACAGAAGCCCUGCAAGGUUUGGAAUAGUAAGUGGUUUUACUCUCCUCUCUUCCCCAGCAAGGCUCUGCCUGGAGGGCUGCACAGGUGGGCUUCCAGGGGGCUUCCAGGUGGCUGGCCCAGGGCAGGAUUUAACCUGCAUCACUUGAUAUUCAACACUUAAUGCUGAGGGCAGAGGAGGCCCAGGGCAUUCAGAGACAGGACAGGGCCAGAUGUAGAGGGGAGGGCUGGGGCUAGGAAGAAGAGGGAAUGAUCAGCUUGCCUGGGAUUCAGGAAGGGUGUGAACCAGGAGGCAAUGAGGAACUGGAAUGAACCGGAGCUGUCACUGGGGCUCUGUGCAGUGGGAGCUCUUAAGAGGGCUUCCUUCCAACUGAGAGUCUUUCAGGAUGCCAUCUCCUCUACAAAGCCCUUCCUUUAGUCCCAUUAUACUUACAUGCCCCUCUUUU